AUUGAACGCUGGCGGCAUGCCUUACACAUGCAAGUCGAACGGCAGCACGGGAGCAAUCCUGGUGGCGAGUGGCGAACGGGUGAGUAAAGUAUCGGAACGUGCCCAGUCGUGGGGGAUAACGUAGCGAAAGUUACGCUAAUACCGCAUACGAUCUAUGGAUGAAAGCGGGGGAUCGCAAGACCUCGCGCGAUUGGAGCGGCCGAUAUCAGAUUAGGUAGUUGGUGGGGUAAAGGCUCACCAAGCCGACGAUCUGUAGCUGGUCUGAGAGGACGACCAGCCACACUGGGACUGAGACACGGCCCAGACUCCUACGGGAGGCAGCAGUGGGGAAUUUUGGACAAUGGGCGAAAGCCUGAUCCAGCCAUGCCGCGUGCAGGAUGAAGGCCUUCGGGUUGUAAACUGCUUUUGUACGGAACGAAAAGGUUUGGGCUAAUAAGCUGAGCUCAUGACGGUACCGUAAGAAUAAGCACCGGCUAACUACGGGCCAGCCGCCGCUGUAA
rnacentral:rRNA from 1 species